rfam:Schistosoma haematobium scaffold322_12, whole genome shotgun sequence.
UUCGAGCUGAAGAGUCCCGAAUAGGACGAAACGUGCGUCCUGGAU